CUUUUUCUUUCCAUUAAUUUUGUUCCCCACUCCAUCAACUCCACUACCCUAUGCUCCCCACCAUCUCCACUACCUUUGCUCCCCAUCAACUCCAACACUUCACCCAUUCCUUCCAUUUCGCACCAGCAAUCACAAAGAGAAGGAAGACUUGGCUUAACUACUUUGCCAAGAUUUCAAGCUGCUCCAGUCCAGUAGUACCCCAACACUCGAAGCUAGAGUUUAUUGGGUGAAAAACCGUGCAUGAGGUCGAGCGCAAGAAUAAGAGCUCGUCAAGGAGUCACUAAUCUGUAGCAAAGCUUUGCUAUCAGGUGGGUUACUUUCAUAUAUAUCAAAUGAGUUUAAUGUUAUGUUUGAACAGUUAUUUCAUUGCAAAAUCUUUGAACUGAAAAUUAUUUCAAAUGUUGUCUUGCCAUAAAUGUUUCAAUGUUUGGUAUGAUAUCUAUCUGAUGUGGCUUUGCCAGUUAUUAUGCAAUCGAAUUCGGGUCCUGAGCAGUUGAUAGCUAUCCUGCCAGGGCUAGUGUACACCAGUGACCGUGAGUCAUCUAGCGGGUUGGCCGGUCAAGUGACCGUGAGAGGUGGCCACCUCUCCGGCACACAGUUCCAGAUAUGAUAGAUUACAAGAGAACUUAGUCUGCAGACGAACUUUAAGAAUCACAAAUGAAUUUAGUAAGCUUGGGCCUUUUUAGCGAAAAACUCCCUUGCUGUACUGUUUAUGAUGGCAUGACAAUUUACAACUUUACGAAGCAUGUUAUAUUUCAUAGUAGGCAUAUGUGCCCACUGAGUACUUUUGUACUCAGCCCUGCAUAUAUUUCUAAAUGUGCAGGUUAAGCAGCUGCCGAUGGUGAUGAAGUGACGAGCGGGACUCUUUUGUCUUAUUAUGUAUUAAUGAACUCUAGGGUUACAUGUCUUCAUACAUGUAAUCAGAACCUUAUUCCGCUGCGUACUCAGAAGUUUUAUGUUAUUUUGGAUAAGUCGGAGUUAUCCGAACUUGUUAGUUAUUUGAGUCUAUACGACAAAAACUCUGUUAUAUUAUAGAUAUCCAUGUUGUUAACAAUGAUGAAAUACGAUCCUUUCUUGUUUGAUUA